AGAGUUUGAUCCUGGCUCAGAUUGAACGCUGGCGGCAUGCCUUACACAUGCAAGUCGAACGGUAACGCGGGGCAACCUGGCGACGAGUGGCGAACGGGUGAGUAAUGUAUCGGAACGUGCCCAGUUGUGGGGGAUAACUGCUCGAAAGAGCAGCUAAUACCGCAUACGACCUGAGGGUGAAAGCGGGGGAUCGCAAGACCUCGCGCAAUUGGAGCGGCCGAUAUCAGAUUAGGUAGUUGGUGGGGUAAAGGCUCACCAAGCCAACGAUCUGUAGCUGGUCUGAGAGGACGACCAGCCACACUGGGACUGAGACACGGCCCAGACUCCUACGGGAGGCAGCAGUGGGGAAUUUUGGACAAUGGACGCAAGUCUGAUCCAGCCAUGCCGCGUGCGGGAAGAAGGCCUUCGGGUUGUAAACCGCUUUUGUCAGGGAAGAAACGCUCUGGGUUAAUACCUCGGGGUAAUGACGGUACCUGAAGAAUAAGCACCGGCUAACUACGUGCCAGCAGCCGCGGUAAUACGUAGGGUGCAAGCGUUAAUCGGAAUUACUGGGCGUAAAGCGUGCGCAGGCGGUUAUGCAAGACAGAGGUGAAAUCCCCGGGCUCAACCUGGGAACUGCCUUUGUGACUGCAUAGCUAGAGUACGGUAGAGGGGGAUGGAAUUCCGCGUGUAGCAGUGAAAUGCGUAUAUAUGCGGAGGAACACCGAUGGCA
rnacentral:rRNA from 1 species